AUGAGGGUGACCGAGUGUGGGGAGGAAGCGUGGAGCGAAGCCGCGAGCCGAUGAACAAGAACCGGAUAGAAGGCGAUGCCGACCAGGGCGAGCGGGCAAAAAGCCGCGAAGCCCUCGUGGUCAAAGGGCGGCGGCGUAGAUCCGGCGGUUGUGCGGUGAAGGAUUGCGUUC
rfam:Pseudomonas pseudoalcaligenes KF707 = NBRC 110670 strain KF707 ctg1543, whole genome shotgun sequence.